rnacentral:rRNA from 1 species
GAUGAACGCUAGCUACAGGCUUAACACAUGCAAGUCGAGGGGAAACGAUGGGAGGGCUUGCCCUCCCAGGCGUCGACCGGCGCACGGGUGAGUAACACGUAUCCAACCUGCCCUCUUCCGGGGAACAACCUUGCGAAAGUAAGACUAAUGCCCCAUGUGUCCUCAGACGGCAUCAGACGAGGACGAAAGAUUUAUCGGAAGUGGAUGGGGAUGCGCCUGAUUAGGCAGUUGGCGGGGCAACGGCCCACCAAGCCGACGAUCAGUAGGGGUUCUGAGAGGAAGGUCCCCCCACAUUGGAACUGAGACACGGUCCAAACUCCUACGGGAGGCAGCAGUGAGGAAUAUUGGUCAAUGGGCGGGAGCCUGAACCAGGCCCAAGUAGCGUGCAGGACGACGGCCCUAUGGGUUGUAAACCGCUUUUACAGGGGGAUAAAGUGAGUCACGUGUGAUUCAUUGCAGGUACCCUGCGAAUAAGG